GCGGGCGUGGUUCAAUGGUAGAAUUGUUGCUUCCCAAGCAACGGACGUGGGUUCGAUUCCCAUCGCCCGCUCCA
rnacentral:tRNA from 1 species